rnacentral:lncRNA from 1 species
GAGUUGUUAGGAUGAUGAUAAAAAUCCCUAAUAAGGAUUGGGAUGAUCUAAGUGUUUAAAUUUGAGCAAAGCUCUUAUCCAACUAUGCGUUUAAAAUGAGCAGAAUUCUUAGUGAAUCUCAUCUAUAAGUACUUGGUACAUACCUUCAAUCGGUGAUCAACCUCAUUUUUAGAGUACCUAUACCCUUUCUCUCUAAGGAAUAUCUCUCUAGAGUCAUUUUCUAAUAGCCCAUACAAGAUCAAGAAGGAGGUAUGAGAUUGCUAGGGUCACGCACGCACUUCGAGGAGAUAUUAGAAGAUCAAUGGAUGUUUGUAAAGCAAACAUAUCACAUCCAAAUUAUGGGUUUUUGAUAUACAAACCCAUAUAGGUAAUAUUUCCAUUGCAAUUUUACAAUAAUGAUCUAGAAAGAUCACCGAACUCGAUAUAUAAAUCACUUGAACUAUUAUGGAGAGGAC